rnacentral:rRNA from 1 species
AGUCGAACGAAGCGCUUAAACAGAUUUCUUCGGAUUGAAGUUUUUGCGACUGAGUGGCGGACGGGUGAGUAACGCGUGGGUAACCUGCCUCAUACAGGGGGAUAACAGUUAGAAAUGACUGCUAAUACCGCAUAAGCGCACGGUGCUGCAUGGCACAGUGUGAAAAACUCCGGUGGUAUGAGAUGGACCCGCGUCUGAUUAGCUAGUUGGUGGGGUAACGGCCUACCAAGGCGACGAUCAGUAGCCGGCCUGAGAGGGUGAACGGCCACAUUGGGACUGAGACACGGCCCAAACUCCUACGGGAGGCAGCAGUGGGGAAUAUUGCACAAUGGGGGAAACCCUGAUGCAGCGACGCCGCGUGAGUGAAGAAGUAUUUCGGUAUGUAAAGCUCUAUCAGCAGGGAAGAAAUAGGACGGUACCUGACUAAGAAGCACCGGCUAAAUACGUGCCAGCAGCCGCGGUAAUACGUAUGGUGCAAGCGUUAUCCGGAUUUACUGGGUGUAAAGGGAGCGUAGACGGUUGUGUAAGUCUGAUGUGAAAGCCCGGGGCUCAACCCCGGGACUGCAUUGGAAACUAUGUAACUAGAGUGUCGGAGAGGUAAGCGGAAUUCCUAGUGUAGCGGUGAAAUGCGUAGAUAUUAGGAGGAACACCAGUGGCGAAGGCGGCUUACUGGACGAUCACUGACGUUGAGGCUCGAAAG